UGACCUCGAAUCAGGUAGGGAUACCCGCUGAACUUAAGCAUAUCAAUAAGCGGAGGAAAAGAAACCAACAGGGAUUACCUCAGUAACGGCGAGUGAAGCGGUAACAGCUCAAAUUUGAAAUCUGGUCCGGUUACGGGCCCGAGUUGUAAUUUGUAGAAGAUGCUUUGGUAAUGAGUCCGGCCUAAGUUCCUUGGAACAGGACGUCAUAGAGGGUGAGAACCCCGUAUGCGGCCGAGUACUCAGUGCCAUGUAAAGCUCUUUCGACGAGUCGAGUUGUUUGGGAAUGCAGCUCAAAAUGGGUGGUAAAUUUCAUCUAAAGCUAAAUAUUGGCCAGAGACCGAUAGCGCACAAGUAGAGUGAUCGAAAGAUGAAAAGCACUUUGGAAAGAGAGUUAAACAGUACGUGAAAUUGUUGAAAGGGAAGCGCUUGCAACCAGACUUGGGCACUGUGGAUCAUCCGAGGUUCUCCUCGGUGCACUCGGCAGUGCGCAGGCCAGCAUCAGUUUGGGUGGUUGGAUAAAGACUUGUGGAAUGUAGCUCCUUUCGGGGAGUGUUAUAGCCACAGGUGCCAUGCGACCAACCCGGACUGAGGACCGCGCUUCGGCUAGGAUGCUGGCGUAAUGGUUGUAAGCGACCCGUCUUGAAACACGGACCAAGGAGUCUAACAUCUAUGCGAGUGUUUGGGUGUUAAACCCAUACGCGGAAUGAAAGUGAACGUAGGUGAGAACCUGUAAGGGGGCAUCAUCGACCGAUCCGGAUGUCUUCGGAUGGAUUUGAGUAAGAGCAUAGCUGUUGGGACCCGAAAGAUGGUGAACUAUGCCUGAAUAGGGUGAAGCCAGAGGAAACUCUGGUGGAGGCUCGCAGCGGUUCUGACGUGCAAAUCGAUCGUCAAAUUUGGGUAUAGGGGCGAA
rnacentral:ncRNA from 1 species